CUCCCUGUAGUGCAAUGGAUAGCACGUUUGACUUCUAAUCUAAAGGUCAUGAGUUCGAUUCCCACCUGGGAAG